rnacentral:rRNA from 1 species
CAUGCAAGUCGAGCGAACAGAUAAGGAGCUUGCUCCUUUGACGUUAGCGGCGGACGGGUGAGUAACACGUGGGUAACCUACCUAUAAGACUGGGAUAACUUCGGGAAACCGGAGCUAAUACCGGAUAAUAUUUCGAACCGCAUGGUUCGAUAGUGAAAGAUGGUUUUGCUAUCACUUAUAGAUGGACCCGCGCCGUAUUAGCUAGUUGGUAAGGUAACGGCUUACCAAGGCGACGAUACGUAGCCGACCUGAGAGGGUGAUCGGCCACACUGGAACUGAGACACGGUCCAGACUCCUACGGGAGGCAGCAGUAGGGAAUCUUCCGCAAUGGGCGAAAGCCUGACGGAGCAACGCCGCGUGAGUGAUGAAGGUCUUCGGAUCGUAAAACUCUGUUAUUAGGGAAGAACAUACGUGUAAGUAACUGUGCACGUCUUGACGGUACCUAAUCAGAAAGCCACGGCUAA